CCUACGGGAGGCUGCAGUGAGGAAUAUUGGUCAAUGGCCGCAGGGCUGAACCAGCCAAGUCGCGUGAGGGAUGACGGUCCUAUGGAUUGUAAACCUCUUUUGUCAGGGAGCAACGGGCGCCACGUGUGGCGCUUUGCGCGUACCUUAAGAAAAAGCAUCGGCUAACUCCUUGCCAGCAGCCGCGGUAAUACGGGGGAUGCGAGCGUUAUCCGGAUUUAUUGGGUUUAAGGGGUGCGCAGGCGGAAUGUCAAGUAAGCGGUAAAAUUUCGUGGCUCAACCCCGUCGUGCCGUUGAAACUGGCGUUCUUGAGUGAGCGAGAAGUAUGCGGAAUGCGUGGUGUAGCAGUGAAAUGCAUAGAUAUCACGCAGAACUCCGAUUGCGAAGGCAGCAUACCGGCGCUCAACUGACGCUCAUGCACGAAAGCGUGGGUAUCGAACAGGAUUAGAUACCCUGGUAGUC
rnacentral:rRNA from 1 species